GCUUACGGCACACCGGCCUGAGUACGCCUGAUCUCGUCCCGAUCUCGGAAGCUAAGCAGGGUCGGGCCUGGUUAGUACCUUGGAUGGGAGACCGCCUGGGAAUACCCAGGUGCUGUAAGCU
rnacentral:rRNA from 1 species